rnacentral:rRNA from 1 species
CGGGAAAAGCUCAAAUUUAAAAUCUGGCAGUCUUUGGCUGUCCGAGUUGUAAUUUGCAGAAGAUGCUUUGGGUGUGGCACUGGUCUAAGUUCUUUGGAAUGUGACAUCAUAGAGGGUGAGAAUCCCGUAUGUGAUCAGCCGCCGCGCCCGUGUAAAGCUCUUUC